GACGAACCGUGCGAACGUUGUUCGGAAUCACUGGGCUUGAAGGGCGCGUAGGCGGGCGACCAAGUCCGGGGUGAAAUCCCACGGCCCAACCGUGGAAGGGCCCCGGAUACUGGCCGCCUCGAGGGAGGUAGGGGCGUGUGGAACUUCCGGUGGAGCGGUGAAAUGCGUAGAUAUCUGGAGGAAUACCGGUGGCGAAGGCGGCAUCCUGGACCGGCAUUGACGCUGAGGAGCGAAAGCCAGGGGAGCAAACGGG
rnacentral:rRNA from 1 species